rnacentral:rRNA from 1 species
UACGGAGGGUGCGAGCGUUGUCCGGAAUCACUGGGCGUAAAGGGCGCGUAGGUGGCGCAACAAGUCAACGGUGAAAGCUCGGCGCUCAACGCCGAGUCGGCCGUCGAUACUGUUGGGCUGGAGCACUGUAGAGGCAGAUGGAAUUCCGGGUGUAGCGGUGGAAUGCGUAGAGAUCCGGAAGAACACCGGUGGCGAAGGCGGUCUGCUGGGCAGUUGCUGACACUGAGGCGCGACAGCGUGGGGAGCAAACAGG